CGCACAUGUCCCCUCGUCUGCAAGCUCCCUUGCGGAACUCAGGGCAAGGUACACAGCUGUAGUGGUACUUUCUUGGAUCUCUUCUUCGAGCGUUUUCACCUGGAUGGACAAAUGGACAUUCAGUCCAAUCAUGGGAGUAUGCACGAGAGCAUGGCUUGAUCUUAAAUGAGAACAUCCUGAAUUCAUCUGUGGAGUAGAUGCUGUUCUUUAUAUCAGGCAAGGAAGGAUCAAUUGGGUACUCUUUCUUCUCCGGAGGAGAGGGCACAGGGAGGUCAGUAGAUUUUGCACUCCUUGGAGAAGAAGUGGUAUCUGAAGCAGAAGAUGGUGAUAUAUUUCCAAGAGAAGGCGAAAGUGGUGGAGAAUUUGAGUUUGAACUGGCCAUAGACACCCUCAGGUUGCAAUCUCCCAUACCAUCAGUUUUGAGCAGAUUUUCUAGACACGAUUUGAUGGUGUGAUCCUUCAGUGAAGUAACUAAAACAUCAAGAGGGCGAUAACCAUAGGCAUCUUUGACGUUUGGGUCAGCACCAGCUUCUAAAAGCAACUUGAUAGCCUCAACAGCAUUCAAAGAUCCACCUGAGGCAGCACAAUGAAG
rnacentral:misc_RNA from 1 species